GACGAACGCUGGCGGCGUGCUUAAUACAUGCAAGUCGAGCGAGGUCCAUCUGGUGGCAACACCAGUGAAGGCCGAGCGGCGAACGGGUGAGUAACACGUGAGCAACCUGCCCCGAAGUCUGGAAUAACAUCGGGAAACCGGUGCUAAUACCGGAUCGCCCCACCUGACCGCAUGAUCGGGUGAGGAAAGAUUUAUCGCUUCGGGAGGGGCUCGCGGCCUAUCAGCAGUUGGUGGGGUAACGGCCUACCAAGGCAUCGACGGGUAGCUGGUCUGAGAGGACGACCAGCCACACUGGGACUGAGACACGGCCCAGACUCCUACGGGAGGCAGCAGUAGGGAAUCUUGCGCAAUGGGCGAAAGCCUGACGCAGCAACGCCGCGUGGGGGAU
rnacentral:rRNA from 1 species